rnacentral:rRNA from 1 species
AGUGAACGCUGGCGGUAGGUCUAACACAUGCAAGUCGAACGGCAGCACAGUAAGAGCUUGCUCUUACGGGUGGCGAGUGGCGGACGGGUGAGGAAUACAUCGGAAUCUACUUUUUCGUGGGGGAUAACGUAGGGAAACUUACGCUAAUACCGCAUACGACCUACGGGUGAAAGCAGGGGAUCUUCGGACCUUGCGCGAUUGAAUGAGCCGAUGUCGGAUUAGCUAGUUGGCGGGGUAAAGGCCCACCAAGGCGACGAUCCGUAGCUGGUCUGAGAGGAUGAUCAGCCACACAGGAACUGAGACACGGUACAGACUCCUACGGGAGGCAGCAGUGGGGAAUAUUGGACAAUGGGAGCAAGCCUGAUCCAGCCAUACCGCGUGGGUGAAGAAGGCCUUCGGGUUGUAAAGCCCUUUUGUUGGGAAAGAAAAGCAGCAGGUUAAUACCCCGCUGUUCUGACGGUACCCAAAGAAUAAGCACCGGCUAACUUCGUG